CGAACGCUGGCGGCGUGCUUAACACAUGCAAGUCGAACGGAAAGGCCCUGCUUUUGUGGGGUGCUCGAGUGGCGAACGGGUGAGUAACACGUGAGUAACCUGCCCUUGACUUUGGGAUAACUUCAGGAAACUGGGGCUGAUACCGGAUAGGAGCUCCUGCUGCAUGGUGGGGGUUGGAAAGUUUCGGCGGUUGGGGAUGGACUCGCGGCUUAUCAGCUUGUUGGUGGGGUAGUGGCUUACCAAGGCUUUGACGGGUAGCCGGCCUGAGAGGGUGACCGGCCACAUUGGGACUGAGAUACGGCCCAGACUCCUACGGGAGGCAGCAGUGGGGAAUAUUGCACAAUGGGCGGAAGCCUGAUGCAGCAACGCCGCGUGCGGGAUGACGGCCUUCGGGUUGUAAACCGCUUUCGCCUGUGACGAAGCGUGAGUGACGGUAAUGGGUAAAGAAGCACCGGCUAACUACGUG
rnacentral:rRNA from 1 species